AUACUUACUCGUCAGAGAAGAUACCAGGAUCACGAAGGAAGCUUUCCCAGGCGGUGCUCAUCCAUUGCACGCCAGAUGUGCUACCCUUGUGGUUCCCCACUUGUGGGAAACUGCAUAAUUCACGCUUUCCCUGAUGUUCUGCAUUUCA
rnacentral:snRNA from 1 species